UACGGGGGGCAAGCGUUGUUCGGAAUUACUGGGCGUAAAGGGCUCGUAGGCGGCCAACUAAGUCAGACGUGAAAUCCCUCGGCUUAACCGGGGAACUGCGUCUGAUACUGGUUGGCUUGAGUGUGGGAGAGGGAUGCGGAAUUCCAGGUGUAGCGGUGAAAUGCGUAGAUAUCUGGAGGACACCGGUGGCGAAGGCGGCAUCCUGGACCAUUACUGACGCUGAGGAGCGAAAGCC
rnacentral:rRNA from 1 species